rnacentral:rRNA from 1 species
GACGAACGCUGGCGGCGUGCUUAACACAUGCAAGUCGAACGGAAAGGCCCUGCUUUUGUGGGGUGCUCGAGUGGCGAACGGGUGAGUAACACGUGAGUAACCUGCCCUUGACUUUGGGAUAACUUCAGGAAACUGGGGCUAAUACCGGGUAGGAGCUCCUGCUGCAUGGUGGGGGUUGGAAAGUUUCGGCGGUUGGGGAUGGACUCGCGGCUUAUCAGCUUGUUGGUGGGGUAGUGGCUUACCAAGGCUUUGACGGGUAGCCGGCCUGAGAGGGUGACCGGAAGUGUGGGUCCUCACACACGACAUGGACUCCGACUGGACGGAGAAGGGGACAGUGUCACAACAGUGGCGGCCGCUGGAGACGGCCACGCCGUGGGCUGUGUGCGCGCCUGCGCUUUAUACACCGCUUUCGCGUGUGACGAGGGGGGAGUGAUAGAAGUGGAAAAAUAGCCCUCCGCUACUUACCUGCCAGCCGCGGCGGUAGAACAGCAUACGUCUGAAC